rnacentral:rRNA from 1 species
UACGAAGGGGGCUAGCGUUGUUCGGAAUUACUGGGCGUAAAGGGCGCGUAGGCGGCUUGAUUAGUCGGGCGUGAAAGGCCUGGGCUUAACCCGGGAACUGCGUUCGAUACUGUCGGGCUAGAGUGUGGGAGAGGAUAGCGGAAUUCCCAGUGUAGAGGUGAAAUUCGUAGAUAUUGGGAAGAACACCAGUGGCGAAGGCGGCUAUCUGGACCACAACUGACGCUUAGGCGCGAAAGCGUGGGGAGCAAACAGG